rnacentral:rRNA from 1 species
AUUGAACGCUGGCGGCAGGCUUAACACAUGCAAGUCGAGCGAGCGGCGGACGGGUGAGUAAUGUCUGGGGAACUGCCUGAUGGAGGGGGAUAACUACUGGAAACGGUAGCUAAUACCGCAUACCAUCAGAUGUACCCAGAUGGGAUUAGCUAGUAGGUGGGGUAAUGGCUCACCUAGGCGACGAUCCCUAGCUGGUCUGAGAGGAUGACCAGCCACACUGGAACUGAGAAACGGCCCAGACUCCUACGGGAGGCAGCAGUGGGGAAUAUUGCACAAUGGGAGCAAGCCUGAUGCAGCCAUGCCGCGUGUGUGAAGAAGGCCUUAGGGUUGUAAAGUACUUUCAGCGGGGAGGCGUUACCCGCAGAAGAAGCACCGGCUAACUCCGUGCCAGCAGCCGCGGUAAUUC